rnacentral:rRNA from 1 species
UACAGAGGUCCCAAGCGCUGUUCGGAUUCACUGGGCGUAAAGGGUGCGUAGGCGGCGGGGAAAGUUCUAGGUGAAAUCUCCAGGCUCAACUUGGAAAAUGCCUCGAAAACUUCCUCGCUCGAGGGUUGCAGAGGAGAUUGGAAUUCUCGGUGUAGCAGUGAAAUGCGUAGAGAUCCGGAGGAACACCGACGGCGUAGGCAGCGCCCUGGACGACACCUGACGCUGAGGCACGAAAGCUGGGGGAGCGAACAGG